GCCUAGCUGGCUCAGUCGUUAGGGCAUGAGACUCUCGAUCCCAGAGUCAUGAGUUCAAGCCCCACGCUGGGUG
rnacentral:tRNA from 1 species